rnacentral:rRNA from 1 species
CGGGUGCACUGAUCCGGCCGGGCCUUUCCCUCUGUGGAACCCCAUGGCCUUCACUGGCUGUGCGGGGGAAACAGGACUUUUACUGUGAAAAAAUUAGAGUGCUCCAGGCAGGCCUAUGCUCGAAUACAUUAGCAUGGAAUAAUAGAAUAGGACGCGUGGUUCUAUUUUGUUGGUUUCUAGGACCGCCGUAAUGAUUAAUAGGGACAGUCGGGGGCAUCAGUAUUCAAUUGUCAGAGGUGAAAUUCUUGGAUCUAUUGAAGACUAACUACUGCGAAAGCAUUUGCCAAGGAUGUUUUCAUUGAUAAGGAACGAAAGUUAGGGGAUCGAAGACGAUCAGAUACCGUCGUAGUCUUAACUAUAAACUAUGCCGACUAGGGAUCGGACGAUGUUAUUUCUUGACGCGUUCGGCACCUUUCGAGAAAUCAAAGUGCUUGGGCUCCAGGGGGAGUAUGGUCGCAAGGCUGAAACUUAAAGAAAUUGACGGAAGGGCACCACCAGGGGUGGAACCUGCGGCUUAAUUUGACUCAACACGGGGAAACUCACCAGGUCCAGACACAGUGAGGAUUGACAGAUUGAGAGCUCUUUCUUGAUUCUGUGGGUGGUGGUGCAUGGCCGUUCUUAGUUGGUGGAGUGAUUUGUCUGCUUAAUUGCGAUAACGAACGAGACCUUAACCUGCUAAAUAGCCCGUACUGCCCUGGCAGUUCGCCGGCUUCUUAGAGGGACUAUCGG